AGUGAACGCUGGCGGUAGGCCUAACACAUGCAAGUCGAACGGCAGCACAGAGGAGCUUGCUCCUUGGGUGGCGAGUGGCGGACGGGUGAGGAAUACAUCGGAAUCUACUCUGUCGUGGGGGAUAACGUAGGGAAACUUACGCUAAUACCGCAUACGACCUACGGGUGAAAGCAGGGGAUCUUCGGACCUUGCGCGAUUGAAUGAGCCGAUGUCGGAUUAGCUAGUUGGCGGGGUAAAGGCCUACCAAGGCGACGAACCGUAGCUGGUCUGAGGGGAUGAUCCGCCAAACUGGAAAGGAGACACGGGCGAGACUCCUACGGGAGGCAGCAGUGGGGAAUAUUGGACAAUGGGCGCAAGCCUGAUCCAGCCAUACCGCGUGGGCGAAGAAGGCCUUCGGGUUGUAAAGCCCUUUUGUUGGGAAAGAAAUCCAUCUGGUUAAUACCCGGGUGGGAUGACGGUACCCAAAGAAUAAGCACCGGCUAACUUCGUGCCAGCCGCCGCGGUAA
rnacentral:rRNA from 1 species